rnacentral:tRNA from 1 species
GCCACCGUGCACGGAUGCGACCCGGGUCUCCGAAGCCCGGUGCGGCGGUUCGAUUCCGCCCGGCGGCACCA